rnacentral:rRNA from 1 species
UACUGGCUCAGGAUGAACGCUGGCGGCGUGCUUAACACAUGCAAGUCGAACGGAGAUAGCGGAGAGCUUGCUCUCUGCUAUCGUUAGUGGCGGACGGGUGAGUAACGCGUGGGUAACCUACCCUGUACAGGGGGAUAGCAGCUGGAAACGGCUGAUAAAACCGCAUAAAACGGCAGUACCGCAUGGUACAACCGUCAAAUAUUCAUAGGUACAGGAUGGGCCCGCGUCUGAUUAGCCAGUUGUGGGGUAACGGCCUACCAAAGCGACGAUCAGUAGCCGGCCUGAGAGGGUGAACGGCCACAUUGGGACUGAGACACGGCCCAAACUCCUACGGGAGGCAGCAGUGGGGAAUAUUGGACAAUGGGGGAAACCCUGAUCCAGCGACGCCCGCGUGAGUGAAGAAGUAUCUCGGUAUGUAAAGCUCUAUCAGCAGGGAAGAUGAUGACGGUACCUGACUAAGAAGCACCGGCUAAAUACGUGCCAGCCGCCGC